UCAACGUUUAAUUAUACAGGUACUUGUCUGUGAUGGCGAGUAAAUACCUCCAAAUAAUAGAUUUUGGGUUACGUUUUCCAACUGAACACCAUGGAAUCAAGCGAGAUGAUCUACACGGUUAACUUGAUGGACUUACAGACUAACAACUUCUGCAACGGUACUCCUUUUACUCCUCGCUUUCCAUYUUGUAUGUAUUAUUUGAGAAGAAGAAAACUUAAGCGACCACGUUUUGGAGGCAACUGAGUCAUCUCAACUCUUCCAAAGAAAACCGUUUGAAGGCCUCUCUUCUCUCCUGUCAGCCUCUAAACGGUUCACGUGAAUGAAGUAUAAAAUGCAGACGAUCAUCUCAAUCAUCUCGUGUAUUCCUUCUACUAAAUCCAUGAUGUAUGGAAAAUGAACUGAUCUUGACACAAAGUUUAGAAACAAGGAACUUUCUCAUUACCCUCGUCUCUUUCCUGUACUUGGUUAAACAGCAGCAGUUGUAUAAUGUCGUACACCAUUCUAAACAACUCGUGCAAGGCUCUCAGUAGGUUCAUCAGUGGUACAAUAACAGCUUCGUUUGGAUCACUCAUCGUGUCCAGUGCUGCAAUGUAGUGCUUGAAUACUGUACGUACGUUGAAAAUCUUGAAAUGAGAAAAUCCCAAAGUCUACUGUGUUUUCCCCCCAGACUAUUAAAUACCGCAUAUAAGUGGUCCUCUAAUUGGUUUAUAUCAGCUAUGUGUUUUUUCCCUAGCCUUGGACAACUAACAAAGUAGUUUCCCUCCAAGUUCAUCGAAUAAUAUAAUCCAUUCAUACUUUGACCAGGUCUUUUAUACAGGUGGGCGUCUCUACCAAAACAAUGGAUCUAUGUACUGAUAUCCGAUUCGUUAUCCAGUACCGAGUAGGGUGAAUCAAUGCUAUUCUGGGAAAGUCCCGAAGACCGCUUCGCUUAAAGUGGCGUUAACCUGGCGCUUAAACUACCUACUGAGGGUAGGUGGGUCCACUAACAACGACAAUAAUAAAAAAAACCUUAGAGGGAGGGGAGGCACCAAGGAGGGUGUUAUAACAACAUGUAAACCUUGAGAGAAAACCAUGGAAGAAUUUUCGACCAAUUUGUACGAUGAUGAAAGCGGAAGUGGACCCACCUACCCUCAGUCCGCCUAAUCUUCACCUCCCCCUGUUUACAGGAUAUUUUUCCAAAGUUCGUUUUCAGAGUACAAAAUCAAAAUUUCGAAAAGUCAUUUCAAAUAUUUAUUUUAAUUUUUAAUUUUUGAAUUCGAAAAUUGAAAAUUGACAUUGGUGAGAUAAUAUUCGAAUUUUGACAUGAUCAUAAAAAAUGAAAAUUCAAAAAUCAGGCAAAUUUCAUAUGUCCAAUUCACGGCAACUAAAUUGAAAAGCUCUUUGUGGAGUGUUACACGGACCAAUUAGACUACUAGUCAUCUUCGCGGAGCACGAAGACAACUAAUAAUAUAAUGAUCACUUGUCAAGAUAAUUUGCUCUGUUGCAUUUUUAUACGCGGCUCCUAAAGUUAUAACGCUGCUUUUUGGGCUGAAUCCGAGCCCAAAGCGACGAUAACUUUGAAAAUAAGCAAAACAUCAAAAAUUGGAUUGGUUUUAGCUUUUAGUAAAAGCUAAUAUUAUUUUAGAAAAAAAUUCCUGUGCUAUAUAUAUAAAUAAAUAUAAAUAGACACAUUCAAGAAGUAGAUAGUGUGAGCCGAUCAAAAGAAAUUAGGUUUUUGCCACAUUAAUGAUAAUAGUAAAUUAGGUUAAUUUUUUAUCGAAAUUGGGCUGAGGUGUAGCUUAUAAUCCUAUACUGGUGAGUAUUGAGAAUAUGAAAUCAUCAGCAAAAUGGCCGCCAUUUGAUAAGAACAUAGAUAUUUGUAAAAGGAAAGCGACAUUUCACUUUAGUUUAACUGAGAGCUUCCAAUCCAUGCCAAAAAAAAAACAAUACUCACAACACCAAACAAAAAAUUACCGGCAAGUUAGAAAUUUGAUCAUAGUAAUAUUUUAAAUUUGUAACACACAUUUCAAAUGCUAACUAGUUAUUUGGUUAUUUUUUAGUCGUCUUUGAGAAAUGGGGACUACCAAUUAAUUUUUUCAGUAAAAUAUGACAUUUUUGA